rnacentral:rRNA from 1 species
GGCUCAGGAUGAACGCUGGCGGCGUGCUUAACACAUGCAAGUCGAACGAGGGAUUUUGGAUGAGACUUCGGUGGAUUCCAAAAUACCGAGUGGCGGACGGGUGAGUAACGCGUGGGCAACCUGCCCUGUACAGGGGGACAACAGCUGGAAACGGCUGCUAAUACCGCAUAAGCGCACGGUAUCGCAUGAUACAGUGUGAAAAACUCCGGUGGUACAGGAUGGGCCCGCAUUGGAUUAGGUAGUUGGUGGGGUAACGGCCUACCAAGCCGACGAUCCAUAGCCGACCUGAGAGGGUGACCGGCCACAUUGGGACUGAGACACGGCCCAAACUCCUACGGGAGGCAGCAGUGGGGAAUAUUGCACAAUGGGGGAAACCCUGAUGCAGCGACGCCGCGUGAGCGAAGAAGUAUUUCGGUAUGUAAAGCUCUAUCAGCAGGGAAGAAAAUGACGGUACCUGACUAAGAAGCCCCGGCUAACUACGUGCCAGCAGCCGCGGUAAUACGUAGGGGGCAAGCGUUAUCCGGAUUUACUGGGUGUAAAGGGAGCGUAGACGGCAAGGCAAGUCUGAUGUGAAAGGCUGGGGCUCAACCCCGGGACUGCAUUGGAAACUGUCCUGCUGGAGUGCCGGAGAGGUAAGCGGAAUUCCUAGUGUAGCGGUGAAAUGCGUAGAUAUUAGGAGGAACACCAGUGGCGAAGGCGGCUUACUGGACGGUAACUGACGUUGAGGCUCGAAAGCGUGGGGAGCAAACAGGAUUAGAUACCCUGGUAGUCCACGCGGUAAACGAUGAAUACUAGGUGUUGGGUGUCACAGACAUUCGGUGCCGCAGCAAACGCAAUAAGUAUUCCACCUGGGGAGUACGUUCGCAAGAAUGAAACUCAAAGGAAUUGACGG